ensembl:lncRNA
CUUUCUUUGCUUGCUUACUUGUACAGGUCUUUCUUUCAAGCCUGUCAUCUGGCUUUGAAAACACACAGCUUUCUCAAAGCCAGCACUGUGCCAAGAUCACCCAUUAUAGAUGUCAAUCAGCUCUGGUACGACUGCACAGAACACAUCUACAGGGACAGGAUGAAAUGUGGGAGUGAAAAGAAAUGGUAGGAUGUGUGGAGAGGCAGCUAAGGAGAAACCUGGUUAAUAGCAGAAUGCCAAGCGGGUGUUUCUUGUUGGAAUCGACUGUGAAGGGCAAGUUGGAGGUGUGAGGGAUCUAUAUUUUGCCUCUCGUGCUCUUCUGCCUGUCCCAGAAGCCCUGCCAUGGCCACUGCAUCCUGCAGCUCCAGGAUCUGCUGAACAUCUGCACACAAAUCCAUAGUCUCUCAGGCCGAGACGCAUGCAUAUGUUCCCAGGGUCUAUUUGCAUCUUCUCUGCC